rnacentral:lncRNA from 1 species
CUCUUUCUUAUGCACUUUUCAAUCAACAAGGGAGAAAUGAUGCAGGAUAUCAAAAUCUUUUCGAUGCCCUUGUGGAUUCAAUGUAUUUUGCUACGGAGAAACUUGGAGGACAAAAUAUUGAGAUUGUUGUAUCGGAAAGUGGUUGGCCUUCUGAGGGACACCCUUCAGCAACUCUGGAAAACGCGAGGACUUAUUAUACGAAUUUGAUUAAUCACGUGAAAGGAGGGACUGGAACACCAAAGAAACCUGGAAAGACCAUAGAAACUUAUUUAUUCGCCAUGUUUGACGAAAAUAGAAAGGAUGGUAAACCAAGUGAGCAACAUUUUGGACUCUUUUAUCCUGAUAAGAGGCCAAAGUAUCAACUCAAUUUCAAUUAAUGAUACCAUGUCUAAUUAAUAGUACUAUAUAGUUGUUUUUUAUAUGAAUAUAUAUAAUAAGGAGAAAUUUGCGUGUCUUUCUCCUCAAUAAAUGAUACGUAGUACAUUAUUUAACUAUAAUAUGUAGUGAGAAAAUGUAUGGCUUCUUGUGGUUUCCUUGAUAUCAAUAUAAAUGUUAUUAUUUUAUAGGCGGAAUGAUCUGGAGACCUUUGUAUUUGACUUCAUUUUUCAGUUGAACCCUCUAACUCAUCACUUUGCCAAAUGAACACUUAAACUCGACGAAACUCUAUUUUUUAAAACUUUUCUGACCAUUGACCGAGCUUAUAUGACGUUAAAAUAAUUGAAUUGGGACAAGUGUGUGACUGCACGCAUUUUGAAGCAAGUAAAUGAAGUAUUUUUAUUUUUAAAAUCUCAAAAUUAUAUGAGAAAAUAAUAAUAAUAAAUAAAAAAAAAAGGAAAAAAAUUCAAAUCCUUCUUUUUCUUCAGAACAUCCCGCCCCACCUCACUUCUUUUUUGACGGACACCCCAUCACCAUCGUAAAUAAAAAAAAUUAAAAGAUAUAUGAAGAGUCGAAACCUUACUAAUAAGGUGAAUGUUUAAAUAAUCAAUUAACUAAUCUAUUAAGAUUUCUUUAAGUUGUAUGGAUUACAAAAAUACCAAGAAGACGAUUUUAGAGUAAAUAUGAUCGAAGUAGAUAUGGUCUAUUUUAUCUAUACACUAUUUUUUUUCAUAAUAAAAUGAACAUUAUUCUGUUCUAAUUUAUAAUUAGGUUUACUGUUAUAUAUUGAUUAAUUUUUUUCAUUUUACUAUGAUUAUUGAAAUAUGAUUUUCAACCGGAUCUACUGUUUGUUUACUAGGAUAGCUAUUAUGUUGGAUUACUUCUAAGACAAAUCAGAUCGUCAUAAUUUCAAAGUUAUAAUCUAAGAAGACAAAAAAAAACAUAUUUCAGGAUUGUGGUCUGCAAGUGAUGACAUAUCCAUAUUGAUUUCAUCAUAUAUAAUCGAUCUAAUCAACUUUUGAAAUUAUUCACAAAUCAUAUUGAAUUGCCAAUAUUUCAUAACUAGAAACAAAGAACCAUGUAGCAUACAAGUCAUGCCACAAUAAUGAAUUCAUGUUAUGUUCAAUCUAGUUAUCGUAUUAGAUUACUUACAAUCAUAAUAAAUUAUCGUGAUUUCAAAGUUAAAACACCAAAAGGAGAGGAACUUUUAUUUCUAGAUAUCAAAGAGAAAAAGAAGAGAAAAAAAAAUACAUUUAUGACUUAAUCAUGACCGCACAUAUGAUUCCAUGUUAAUUAUAUUCAACUUAAUUAUCCUGUUGGAUUAAUCACAAUUCAUGUUAAAUAGUCAUGAUUUGUGAGUUCCCUUGCACGUGUAUCAAUGUAAUUAAGUUAUCCAUCAUGCACUUUUUUAGUAAACUAGUUCGAUAUAAAAAAGGUGCAUUAAUCUAUAUAUAUAUAUAUAUAUAUAUUUUUUUUUUUUUUUUAAUUUUUUUUUUUUUACCCUCCCUAGGAGCUCCCACCCCUUUUGCUCCCUUGGUGACUCGAACUCGCAACCUUCGGCAACUCCCUCUCGUCAAUCUAUCUAUAUAUAAUAGGAGAAGAAAAAGUGCCACGUGUCAGCACCACAAAAAUAGAUUUUUUAAUUAAUUAAAUUUAAUGAUGUGUAUUAGUUUGAAUAAUAAUCUACUAUUUUAUUUUUUAAAAUAUUUUUAAAUCAAUUCUUACAUUUAAAUGAGAUAAAAAUUUAAAACAAUUUAAAAAAUUAACGUAAUGCAACUGUAAAUUAUAAAUCUUAUCUUUAUUUUAAUUCAAAUAAGUAUCAUAGCUACACACAAAUUCUGAAUAAUUUAAUGUCAAAUUAGUUAGCACGUUAAUAUAUAAGAAAAAUUGAAUUUAUUAAAUAAGAAAAAUCAAAUUAUAAAAAAUAAAUCUGCGUGAAAACAAAAUCAAUUUUAAAAAAUAAUAAAUUAUAACAUUUCUAACCGCACAUUAACUCUUCAUGUUGGAGUCCUAAAAACGUGUAACUAUAAAUCAAUGCAGUACGUUUAGAACUCUUUUUUUUUUACUUUUCAGAUUUAAUAUUAACUAUUUGAACUACAAAAAUAAUUUUAAUUAAAUUAUUGUAUUUGAAUUUAUAUUAUAUUAUAUAUUUUAUAUUAUUAAAAAAGUAUUGCUUUUGAAUUAUUCUCGAUUUUAGGAUUUUAAAUUAUAAUAAUUAAUUUUUAUAAAUCAAAAUUUUAAAUAAAAAAUAGACAUAUAUCAUCAAUUAAAAAAAAUAAUUACAAAUGUCAGCCAAAAAAAAUUAAAAUGCGAAAAACAAAUUUAAAAUGUCAAUUGACAAAAAUAAAAUAUAUAUAUAAAACAAGCAACGUGGUUAGUGAUUUUUUUUUUAUAUAACUGCACAUUUAUUUAUUUAAUAAUUGUGGAAAAAAUAUAAAACAAGUAAUGUGGUUUUUUCUUUGUGGUUUCCAAGUUUAAAAUAAAAAAUUUAAACUUUGAAAUUAUAAAAAAUAAAAAUAAAAAACACACACGAAGUCUUGCAUAUGAAAUUUAGUUUUUGAGCAUACAAGCAUUAUCUAAUUUUGUGGAACCAUCAAGCAUUAUCUAAAAAGUAUAUAUUUAAAUUAAAUUUCAAAAUAGAAAUGUCAUUUAUUUAAUCAAUUUAAAAAUUAAAAAUGUUUUCAAUCUAAGGAUCUCGAAAGGAUAAGAAUAAUUUUAAUUAACCUUUUUUUUUUUGAAAAAAUAACUGUACCAAUUCCUUUUAAAAUAAUAAAAAAAAACAACUUCCCAGUUUCCACGUUAAAAAGAAAUAUAACUACCCCAAAAUAUAAGGGAGAGGAUUUCAUGUACAAAUAAUUUAUGAAUUAAAAUAAAUUUAUAUAAAUUUAAAACAGAUAUAUUUUAAUCCAAAUCGGUUCCAAGUUUAACUACUAAUUAACUGUCAUAUUAAAGGAGGAGGGCAUCUUCUCUAUUCACUACUACAAAACAUUUUUCUUUUUAUAAUAAUCAAUUUUUUUUUUCACUAAUUGCUACUUUGCAGAAUAUUUGUUGUUAUGUCUUUUUUUCAUAUAUAAUUUGUUAGAUUUCAAAUACACACUGCUAGAAAAUAUUCAAAGCUGCCAAACAUACAAGUAAAUGUUUUAUAAUAAUCAAUUAUUUUUCUUCGUACUUCAUGGUGAUUUUACUUCCUUUUUUUUCUCCAUUUUUAAGAAACCCAAAAUUAUUUUUUAAUGACCAUUAUAUGAUAAUAUUCAUUCAAUUUAUAUGUAUCCAUCUUUUUGUAACUAUUAUAUGAAAAUAAAAAAUGAGACAAAGUAAAUCUACAAAUUUUAAUAUUUCAUAAAUAAUAAAAUUAUUAAUAUUAUAUUGUAUACCUAUAUCUGUGUGUGCAAGGAUAAAAUCAUAAGAAAAUAAAAUCAAAUAAUAGGUAAAAUUUUAUGAUCUAUAAAAUUUUAAAACAAAUCUUUCAAAAACAAUUAUGGAGUUUGAAAAUAUUAAAAAUAAUAAUUGUAAAUAAAUAAAAAAGAUAAAAAGAAAAAUCCAAAAAGAAAACUAAUCAAUACGUUCCCUACCCACAUUACCCAACUAACUUACAAACACUAUUCAUUUUUCAAAUAAUCAGAAUUAGUUAGUUUUACAUUUUUGUAUAAAAAAUAAAAGGUAAGUUUAAGUCAAUUUUCCCUAUAUACAUCUUCAAAUAUAAAAAUAACUGACUUAUUUUUAAGAUAAUCACAUCUAUCUUCUAUCCAUCUAUAGCAAGAAGUUGGGUAAUUUGCAAUGUGAUUUUACUAAUUAAUAUGUUAUUGAAAAAUCACUUAACAAUUUUUUAAAAUCGAUAAUAAAUAAAUAUUGUAAAAAUAUUUUGAAUAAUUAAUUUUAAAUUAAAAUAUAUGAAAAAUCAUAUCUUAAAGAUGGUAAUUAUAUCACAUUAGAGAGUUCUAAUUGGACUAUUAUUGUUACCAUAAUAAAUGCUAUGCUAUCGAACUCCUAACUGUUACCGAACAUGUUUUAAAUUAAAAAUAUAACAUCAUCUUAAAGAUAAACUUAGACUUUUCCAAAAAAAAAUUGAUUAGAUGGAUAUAUGUAAUUUAUUUAUUACUCUUUUCAUUUUAAUUUAUUUGUAUUUGUUUUGUCACAAAGUUUAAGAUAAUAAAGAAGUUUGAACAAUGUAAUUUUUAAUCAAACAUGUCAAAUAUAUUAAACAUAUUGAAACAAAUGGUAAUUUUGAAUUUUGUCUAAGAUAAAAUAAUAAAAAAUAAAUACUUUCCUUUAUUAAAAUUUCAACAGAAUAUAUUGUAAAACUAAAAGUGUAUCGUAUUAUAAUUAUAGAAAUAAUAUUUUGAUAUUAAAAGAAAAGUUGUGUACUAAUAAUAUUAAUUUAAAAUGCUCAAAUUAAGAUAUUUUCAAUUUUUAAUAAUGAAUUUUUAAAAAUAUUGACAAGUAAAUAAUAAAUAUUAGUUAAUUUUAAUUAAAAAUGUGUUUACUUUUUAUAAUAGCCACGCAAUGCGCGGAUACGUAUACUAGUUAUAUUUUAAAACACACAUUUUAUAUAAAUUCACAGUGAAAAAACUUUAUUUAUAAUAAUGCUUUAAUCAUAGGUCUUAAUUUCAAAGCCCAAAUAUAAAAGAAAAUCCUUAAAUAAAGAACGAUACACUCAAAUAUUAAUUAAACUUUAAUAAAAAUAUUGAACAUCAUACCUCACAAGCAAAAUAAAUUUGGUCAAUUUGAGCUUUUUCCUCGUAUUGAAUUGGAACCAACCAUUUAUUGCCGUACAAUUCAUUGACUCCAUCAUUUUACUAGAUUUGAACUUUCUACAUAAUUUUAAUUAAUAUUUUCUUCAUAUAGGGACAAAUAUUGCAUUGUUAUAUACUUAAUAAUAUUCCAUGACGUGCUUCACGGGGUAUUAUGACGGAAUGUCGAAAUAAUUUGUAACUACGCUUAUUGUGAAAUAUAUUGUAUACGUAAGCAUAAAAUUUCAUAUAAGUCAUUUUUUAUACGUCUUUUAAAUAUUUUAAAUUAUUACUUGUUAUAGCUACAAUAUUUUUUUUUAUAUACGUUAAUGAAUUGUUGUAUAUCUGAAGUUGUUUAAUUUUACCAUCCAUUAUACCUUUAAUUAGUUCAUUUGUAUCUUUGUUGUUAGCAAAUUAAUUAAUUAUGAAAUUAUCUCGUAACUUCCCCUGUCAUUAAUUAUAUUAACAAAGAUCUAGCGUAACAUAAAUAUACUUCAUGGUUCCAUCUUCUUUUAAGAAAAAAACAGGUCUAAAUUUACACCUAAAUUCUUGGAGUAUAGUUUAAAAUUACUCUCAAUUAAGCUAUUAAUAAGACACACUAUGAAAGUUAGAAAGAGGAUCGUCGAAAUGAAGAUGUAUAGGUCGAGUGUCUAUAUCUUUGAACCAAUUCAAAUUUAUGUAGGAGCGUUCGAUUACAUAAGCUAGCCAUCCACCUUGAAAGGAGAUUGGUGGAAAAAUAUAUGGACUAAAAGAGGGAGUACUUACACAUGAUGUUUAUUAAUCUAGACAUAUGAUAAAGUCCCUAGGGAGAUCUUUUGAAGUCUAGAGGUGUCUUUGUGACUUACAUUAGGGCUAUUAAAUAAUGUAUGAUGGAGACAAAAUUUGGGUUAAGAUAGUGGGAGGCAACUCAAAACAUAUCCCGACCGUGAUAGGGGGUUGCACAUGGAUUAACCCUAAGCAUAUUCGUUUAUGCCUUAGUGAUAUAUAUAUAUUGACAUGACAUAUCCAAAGGAAUCAGGUGCCGUGAUGUAUGUUAUUCACAGAUAACAUAUUAUUGAUUGAUGAGCCAUAUAUACAUGCAGUAGAGCUAAUAAUAAAAUUGGAAGUUGGAGAGAGACAACAGAACUAACACAGAGUAUCUAGAGUGCAAGUUUAGUGACGUGAGACAUGAGAUAGAUGGGGAAGUCAUGAAUAUUGAUACACUAGUAAUACCAAGAGAGAAAAUUUCAAAUGUCUUGGGUCUAUAGUUUAAGGAGAUUGGGCAAUUGACGAUGAUGUCACACACCGUGUUGGAGCGGGGUGGGGGAAAUAGAAGCUCGCCUUUGGGGUAUUAAUGCGUGAUAAGAAUGUGACACCAAUGAUUAAAAUGUAAGUUUUAUAGAGUGAUGGUUAGACCAAAACUAUUUUAUGAGGUCGAGUGUUGGCCAGUCAAGAAUGCCCACGUUCAAAAGAUGAGGUAGCAAAUAAGAUGAUGCUUGGAUGGAUGAGUGGACAUACUAGGAAAGAUACGAUUAAGAACAAAUUUAUACAGGCCGGGACAAGUUGGGAGUAACCUCUGUGAUGGAGAAGAUGAGGGAAGCGAGGUUGAGAUGGUUCAGAUAUGUGCAACGGAGGUGCGAGGAUGCACCAGUGAGGAGGUGUGAGUUGUUGACUAUAGUAGGAGUCUAUUGGAAAUUAACAACUUCUCUAUCCUGCAAAGGUAGAAGCCUCUCAUACUUCACUUAUGAAAUUACAUUGAGUAUGUUGUUGUUUAAGGUAAAGCUCAUUUAGAAACCAAAGGAAUAAAAGAGACUUGUUCCUACCAGGAAGCCAAAAUGAAGUUGCUCAAUUUCACAUAGUUUGCCGUUUUCCUUAUAUUAAAUGGAAAUCAUCCAUUUUUUCCACAUCACACCUACCAUUAGGUUUGAACUUUCUUCAUCCCCACUUGGUAAUAUAUAUGACUUGGUUAUUCUACUUGACUAAAUAUUACUAUUCAUUAAACUUUUUCUUCUUCUUGUUACCUAUAUAAGAAGCAAUUUUAUGUUUCCUCAACACACAAUUUCACCUCUAACUAUUUCUUACUCUUCUCAGUUCCAAUUUUGCUAUGGCUUUUCUAACUUCUCUUAUAGCUUCCCUUUUACUUGUUGGGCUGCUAAUCCAAAUUUCAGGUCUCUCUCUUCUUACAUACACACACUCACAUAUAGACGGAUCAAAAUUUAAAUUCUAUAAGUUCAAUAUUUAAGAUUUUUUGUAUUGAACUCAUUUUAUUUAAAAUUUUGGGUUCUGACCUACUAUUUGUUUCGAUUGUAGUAACGUUUUACACAUAUACUUAUGCUCCGUGUUAGAAGUACUGAGUUCAAAUGAAUUAUACCAUUGCUUGUCUCAUGCAUGCAUAUUUACUUAUAAAUGUUCUAUUAAAUAACACUACAUAUAUUUUUUUUUUCUAUGAGGGUGGAGUAGGCCCUAUUGAUAAAGACAUAAAAAAAAAUAGGCUUAAUAGUCUCACGCAAUUGUGACAUCUACAAAUAAGUUAUUUAUGGAUGUAUUAACCAACCAUUAUCAACAUCAACUUGUUUUUAUUGAGGCGUUAUUAUUGUUGUUGUUAUUAUUAUUUUGAUGUUCUUUUUUUUCAUAAUGUAGGAGCGCAGCCUAUCGGAGUAUGCUAUGGAAAAAUUGCCAAUAAUUUACCAUCAGAUCAAGAUGUCAUAAAAUUAUAUAAUGCUAAUAACAUCAAGAAAAUGAGAAUUUACUAUCCAGAUACAAAUGUCUUUAAUGCCCUCAAAGGAAGUAACAUUGAAAUAAUUCUUGAUGUCCCAAAUCAAGAUCUUGAAGCCCUAGCCAAUCCUUCAAAUGCCAAUGGUUGGGUUCAAGAUAAUAUAAGAAAUCAUUUUCCCGAUGUUAAAUUCAAAUAUAUAGCCGUUGGAAAUGAAGUUGAUCCUGGUAGAGCUAGUGGUAAAUAUGCACGAUUUGUUGGUCCAGCAAUGGAAAAUAUUUACAACGCGUUAUCAUCAGCAGGAUUGCAAAAUCAAAUCAAGGUCUCAACCGCGACAUAUCUAGGGCUCUUAACCAACACCUACCCACCUAGAGAUGGCAUUUUUCGCGAAGAAUAUAAAAGUUUCAUUAAUCCUAUAAUUGGAUUUCUAGCAAGACAUAAUCUUCCACUCUUAGCCAAUAUUUACCCUUAUUUUGCCCAUGCUGAUGAUAAUGUUCCUCUUUCUUAUGCACUUUUCAAGCAACAAGGGCUAAACGAUGCAGGAUAUCAAAAUCUUUUCGAUGCCCUUGUGGAUUCAAUGUAUUUUGCUACGGAGAAACUUGGAGGACAAAAUAUUGAGAUUAUUGUAUCGGAAAGUGGUUGGCCUUCUGAGGGACACCCUUCAGCAACUCUAGAAAAUGCGAGGACUUAUUAUACAAAUUUAAUUAAUCAUGUGAAAGGAGGGGCUGGAACACCAAAGAAACCUGGAAAGACUAUAGAAACUUAUUUAUUCGCGAUGUUUGAUGAAAAUAGAAAGGAUGGAAAACCAAGUGAGCAACAUUUUGGACUAUUUUAUCCUGAUAAGAGGCCAAAGUAUCAACUCAAUUUUAAUUAAUGAUAGCAUAUUAUAAUU